GUAGGUGGCAAGCGUUGUCCGGAAUUAUUGGGCGUAAAGCGCGCGCAGGUGGUUCUUUAAGUCUGAUGUGAAAGCCCCCGGCUCAACCGGGGAGGGUCAUUGGAAACUGGGGAACUUGAGUGCAGGAGAGGAAAGUGGAAUUCCACGUGUAGCGGUGAAAUGCGUAGAUAUGUGGAGGAACACCAGUGGCGAAGGCGACUUUCUGGCCUGUAACUGACACUGAGGCGCGAAAGCGUGGGGAGCAAACAGGGAUUAGAUACCCUGGUAGUCCACGCCGUAAACGAUGAGUGCUAAGUGUUGGGGGGGUUUCCCGCCCCUCAGUGCUGCAGUUAACGCAUUAAGCACUCCGCCUGGGGAGUACGGUCGCAAGACUG
rnacentral:rRNA from 1 species